AACGAACGCUGGCGGCAUGCCUAACACAUGCAAGUCGAACGAGACCUUCGGGUCUAGUGGCGCACGGGUGCGUAACGCGUGGGAACCUGCCCUUAGGUUCGGAAUAACUCCCCGAAAGGGGUGCUAAUACCGGAUAAUGUCUUCGGACCAAAGAUUUAUCGCCUUUGGAUGGGCCCGCGUUGGAUUAGCUAGUUGGUAGGGUAAAAGCCUACCAAGGCGACGAUCCAUAGCUGGUCUGAGAGGAUGAUCAGCCACACUGGGACUGAGACACGGCCCCGACUCCUACGGGAGGCAGCAGUGGGGAAUAUUGGACGAUGGGCGAAAGCCUGAUCCAGCAAUGCCGCGUGAGUGAUGAAGGCCUUAGGGUUGUAAAGCUCUUUUACCCGGGAUGAUAAUGACAGUACCGGGAGAAUAAGCUCCGGCUAACUCCGUG
rnacentral:rRNA from 1 species